UACGUAGGGUGCGAGCGUUGUCCGGAGUUAUUGGGCGUAAAGAGCUUGUAGGCGGUCUGUCGCGUCUGCUGUGAAAAUCCGGGGCUCAACCCCGGACUUGCAGUGGGUACGGGCAGACUAGAGUGUGGUAGGGGAGACUGGAAUUCCUGGUGUAGCGGUGAAAUGCGCAGAUAUCAGGAGGAACACCGAUGGCGAAGGCAGCUCGCUGGGACGGUACUGACGC
rnacentral:rRNA from 1 species